rnacentral:rRNA from 1 species
CCAGACUCCUACGGGAGGCAGCAGUGGGGAAUAUUGCGCAAUGGGCGAAAGCCUGACGCAGCGACGCCGCGUGGAGGAUGAAGGUUUUCGGAUUGUAAACUCCUUUUGUUAGAGAAGAUAAUGACGGUAUCUAACGAAUAAGCACCGGCUAACUCCGUGCCAGCAGCCGCGGUAAUACGGAGGGUGCAAGCGUUACUCGGAAUCACUGGGCGUAAAGAGCGCGUAGGCGGGAUAGCAAGUCAGAUGUGAAAUCCUGUAGCUUAGCUACAGAACUGCAUUUGAAACUGUUACUCUGGAGUGUGGGAGAGGUAGGUGGAAUUCUUGGUGUAGGGGUAAAAUCCGUAGAGAUCAGGAGGAAUACUCAUUGCGAAGGCGACCUGCUAGAACAUAACUGACGCUGAUGCGCGAAAGCGUGGGGAGCAAACAGGAUUAGAUACCCUAGUA